rnacentral:misc_RNA from 1 species
GAAAUGCGAUACGUAAUGCGAAUUGCAGAACUCAGUGAAUCAUCAAAUCUUUGAACGCAAAUGGCACUGUCGGGAUACGCCUGGCAGUACGUUUCUUUCAGCGUCGUUUCAACCACACUCUGACUGCGCUCUUUGCGAAAGGGGCUCGCGGUCAGGACGAUGAGCGUCACACUCCUUUGCUUGUGUGUCGCCUCAAAGCUCGCGGAACGGCAUGUGCCGAUUGCACACUGCGCCCAGUACUCAGUAGUGACGUGGAUAAUUUCACAACUCGUGAAUCCUUUACGUGACUGCUUUUGAAGAACAGUGUAUGUGAGGCUCUGCGCAACCGCCGCCCCGACCUAACACAACUACUUUACGACUAAGACCUGAAAUGAAGCGAGAGUACCCGCCGAACUUAA